UUAGGUUUUAAUCACAUCGAUUCCCGGCCACCGAAUGCCAAACUUUAUGACUCUAUUAGGGCGAAAUUCGUAUAUGCGGCGUGGAAAUGAGCUGAUUGUCCAUAUGUGCGGAUAUGCCUCUAUAUAGUCAUACUCCCUUUGAGCCGAUCUUUCGGGCGCGUUGAAGGAAUCUCGUGGAACUGCCUGUUGUAUUUUCGCUUAGCAACAUAAAUAACAUUUUAUUGGCAAUUUGGUUGCGAAAUUAAUGUGCAUACAGUUGGCAACUUUGGUAAUUUAUGCAAAUAAAACGAUCGUAAAUUUGGCAUUAAAACGCUUAUUAAAUGAUCGUUUAUUAACCCACUA
rnacentral:sRNA from 1 species